GAUGAACGCUGGCGGCGUGCCUAAUACAUGCAAGUCGAGCGAACGGACGAGAAUCUUGCUUCUCUGAUGUUAGCGGCUGACGGGUGAGUAACACGUGGAUAACCUACCUAUAAGACUGGUAUAACUUCGGGAAACCGGAACUAAUACCGGAUGUUAUUUUGAACCGCAUGGUUCAAAAGUGUAAUACGGUCUUUCUGUCACUUAUAGAUGUAUCCGCGCUGCAUUAGCUAGUUGGUAAGGUAACGGCUUACCAAGGCAACGAUGCAUAGCCGAAAUGAGAGGGUGAUCGGCAACACGGGAAGUGAGACACGGUAGAGAGGACGACGGGAGGGAGCAGAAGGGAAGAUGACGCAAUGGGAGAAAGCAUGACGGAGGAACGACGCGUGAGAGAUGAAGGUCUUCGGAUCGUAAAACUCUGUUAGUAGGGAAGAACAUAUGUGUAAGUAAAAGUGCAGAGAGUGACGGUAACUAAUAAGAAAGCAACGGCUAACUACGUG
rnacentral:rRNA from 1 species